ACUUUCAAGAAAGGUAGUGGGAUUUCUGGGCAUCAGGAAAAAGAAAAAAUAGCGAGGAGGAGAUGCAACGGUUUGUCAAGAAGAUUGUGGAUCUGAUGCGAGAGGAAAUGCUGUUCUCCUGGCAAGGUGGUCCAAUCAUUAUGUUGCAGAUUGAGAAUGAAUAUGGAAACAUGGAAAGCUCAUAUGGCC